CCCCCAGAUGGGCAGCAAGGUGAAGUGAGCUCCUACAUCACAAAUUCCUGGAGCAAAAUGGAUAAGCAUCUCUUUGGUCAAGUCCCCCUAACUCCUAAUGGGUAGCUUUGAUAUGUGUACAAGGUUAAGGGAGAAAACUCAGUUUGGAUGUGUUUUCCACAUGAUGAUAAGGUCUGAUGCUAGCUACAAUGUAUUGACUAUACACCCUCAUUCAACAUGAGGCAUUAACUUGAAAAAAAAAAUCAGGCCUUCAACUUCAGAACUUGUAUGGCAAAGCAAGAAAGGGGCAAGUGGAACCAGGAUAUUUGUAAGGUCAGAAGGCUGGGAACUGCAAGCUGAACUCUUGCUUAGAAUCUCAUAAGACUGAAAUCAUGGUCCUGGUUGGCUGCAUUCUCAUCUGAAGGCUCAAUAGGCAAGAAUCCACUCAGCAAUUGCUCUCAGGCCUGAUUUUUAUCUUUUUCAGCAGCAGCAGAUGUUGAUUCCAGCAGAAUUUUAGAGUUUUCCACAACACUCUACAAAACAUCAUGUCUUGCCUCAGAAGCAACUGUAUCAGCCAGCCAGAGAAACUUGGUUACGAAUCAAAUUGUACAAGCACAUGGACCCAAGUUUGUAAGAUGACCAUCUAUAAGACACUAUUUGCUUCUCCAGAAAAUUAAUGACAAGGAGGAUGAAAAUUGAAGGCCAUGGAAUCAAAGAAACGGGAGCUGUAACUCAAGAGCUGGUGGAUUAUCAAUCAAAAAAAAAAAAAAGAGAGAGAGUUGUUGAUAAUUAGGGAAAUGUGAGGCUAGACUAUCUAUUAGGUAAUAUUAAGAGAUUUUAAUGACAAAAUUUUUAGAUGUGAAAGUGGUAUGGUUUAUAUAACAAUUGUCAACAUGAUACAUGCUUCAGGUAUUUAUGAGUGAGAUAAUCUGGUAUGUUAGUUUUGCUGAGAGGAUUAAACUUUAAAGGGAUAAUUAUAUACCAAAAUUGUUAAUAAUUGUUAAACCUGACUAAUAGGUACCUGGGUUCAUUUUAUAACUUUCUACUUUGUAUUUGCCAAUAACCUCCCAAACAAAACAUCAUGGAGAGAGAUGCUGGAAUAACAUACUCUUCUUUUUCUAAAAUUUAAAUUUCACCUCACUCUAACUUUGUUAAUGUUGUUAUUUAAAGGGGCCUUGCAGUUUAAACCCUCUUGAUACAUCCUCUAUAAAAUUAUCAAGUUUUCCUCCUAAGUAUCGUAAGCACACUGUGUUGUUUUAGAGAAAGUUUUGCAAACUGCUGUUUGAGCCAGGUCAGGCUAAUUUCUAUAAACAGCUGUGCUGAAGUCUCAGUAGCUAAACAGUUUUAUCCCUUGUUUGACUCACCAUGGAAAGCAAGUUGGUGUUGGUGAUGAGGGAUUAUACAUGGAUCUUAAUAUACUUAGACUGUUUGCUUCCAUUUGGCAGAGAGACAAGUGUGGAGAGGUUGUGAGGGAUCAGAAGGGAAGUUUUAGAGGCGAGGCUGGCACAUGGCAUAGCAUAUAUCACUCCUGCCCACAUUCUAGUCACCACAAAUCAGUCUUAUGGUCCCACCCAACUGUGAGGGAGGCUAGAAAAUUUAAAUUCCUGUGUGUUAAAAUCAACUAAGAGAUUUACUGAAUCUAAAAUAUUUUCUUUACCACAAUAGACAUUUGGUUUAAUAAAUACUUUCAUAUGUUUACACUUAUAAACAACCCAUUUAAUUUAAUUUAAUUUAAGCUAUCAAAAGAUAAACUGUCAUAACAGGAGUAUGAAUGGAAAGCUUAAUUCCUGAAUUUGAUUGGCAGUAAAUGCUUUUGAGCCAUAUGCCAGGAUUAAUAUCCACCAUUCAUCAAAGAUGUAUUGAGUGCCUAACAUAAGGUACUAUACCAGGCACUAGGGAUGCUGGUCAGGGAUCUUGCAAGCCAGGAUCUGCUACUCUAUGAAGGAGAAUUAAGAAAGAAUGUAGGUAAUCACUACACAUCCUGCAAAGAAAAUGCCAUCUCUAAAUGGAACCAAACUAAUAAGAAAUGAGAAGGUAAAUGUGUUAGCCAAAUGAAACGGAGGUUUGUUUUAAUGUGUGCUCUCAAGCUCCCAGCUAAAGGAGUGGCACGUGUAAAGAUUUGGAUGUUGGCAGAGCAUCUGGACAUUUGACAAACUAUGAGAACUUAAUGUUUCCUGAGUCUAGGGUAGAAAGAAGAAAAAAAAAAAAAAGGUACAAUGUGAAAGGAAGUAAAUCCAUCUGGCUAACUAUUUUAUUAGGUGAAGGAGUUUGGACUUCAAACUGAUAUCAAUGAAGUGCAAACCUAAUUCAGUUAUACAUAAUAUUGGCUGCUUUGUAAAAUUUAAAUUUAUUUAAUAGAAUCUCUAAUUUUAUUGAAGCUGUAUCAAAAGGGUGCUAUAAUUUAAAAUCUUUCAAUAGCAUUCUAUUAAACAUCACAUUUUUCUCAUAAGUUGGGCCUUAUUUUCUUAGAGAAAAUAUAGAUAGGAUAGAAAGUUUACCUAUUUCCAAUAAGUUCAUAAAGAUUAGGACUCUAUUCUUAAAGGACGAUGUGAUAUGGCAUAUUUUUAAGGAAGAGUGAUGCUAUAAAAGUCAAUUCAGCUUCUCUGAAAGAAGUAAAUACUAAACUUUUACUAGUGUUUUUCUUCUAAACUUUUCUGUUAAGAAUGACACUAAUACGGUAAAAGAAAAUAUAAUUUUAUAUGAAGUAGGUUUUUAUAACUCAGGUCAUGUAUGUAAUGAUUUUCUAUUAGAUUAAGAAAUUCUGUUUUAUGAACCUUUUGGAUUUUUAACACUCCUUUGUAACAAUGGCACAUUUACUUUUCCUGUAUUUUCUUACAUGCAAAGAAAUGUCAUCUACAUAUACUUAUGCACAUAUAAAUAGAAAUACACAUUUAGGCUUUUUUUUUUAAAUAAAGCUUUUACUUAUUUAUUCAUGAGAGACACAGAGGCAGAGACAUAA